rnacentral:rRNA from 1 species
UGGCUCAGAUUGAACGCUGGCGGCAGGCCUAACACAUGCAAGUCGAACGGUAACAGGAAGAAGCUUGCUUCUUUGCUGACGAGUGGCGGACGGGUGAGUAAUGUCUGGGAAACUGCCUGAUGGAGGGGGAUAACUACUGGAAACGGUAGCUAAUACCGCAUAACGUCGCAAGACCAAAGAGGGGGACCUUCGGGCCUCUUGCCAUCGGAUGUGCCCAGAUGGGAUUAGCUAGUAGGUGGGGUAACGGCUCACCUAGGCGACGAUCCCUAGCUGGUCUGAGAGGAUGACCAGCCACACUGGAACUGAGACACGGUCCAGACUCCUACGGGAGGCAGCAGUGGGGAAUAUUGCACAAUGGGCGCAAGCCUGAUGCAGCCAUGCCGCGUGUAUGAAGAAGGCCUUCGGGUUGUAAAUANCUUUCAGCGGGGAGGAAGGGAGUAAAGUUAAUACCUUUGCUCAUUGACGUUACCCGCAGAAGAAGCACCGGCUAACUCCGUGCCAGCAGCCGCGGUAAUACGGAGGGUGCAAGCGUUAAUCGGAAUUACUGGGCGUAAAGCGCACGCAGGCGGUUUGUUAAGUCAGAUGUGAAAUCCCCGGGCUCAACCUGGGAACUGCAUCUGAUACUGGCAAGCUUGAGUCUCGUAGAGGGGGGUAGAAUUCCAGGUGUAGCGGUGAAAUGCGUAGGGAUCUGGAGGAAUACCGGUGGCGAAGGCGGCCCCCUGNACGAAGACUGACGCUCAGGUGCGAAAGCGUGGGGAGCAAACAGGAUUANAUACCCUGGUAGUCCACGCCGUAAACGAUGUCAACUUGGAGGUUGUGCCCUUGAGGCGUGGCUUCCGGAGCUAACGCGUUAAGUCGACCGCCUGGGGAGUACGGCCGCAAGGUUAAAACUCAAAUGAAUUGACGGGGGCCCGCACAAGCGGUGGAGCAUGUGGUUUAAUUCGAUGCAACGCGAAGAACCUUACCUGGUCUUGACAUCCACGGAAGUUUUCAGAGGUGAGAAUGUGCCUUCGGGAACCGUGAGACAGGUGCUGCAUGGCUGUCGUCAGCUCGUGUUGUGAAAUGUUGGGUUAAGUCCCGCAACGAGCGCAACCCUUAUCCUUUGUUGCCAGCGGUCCGGCCGGGAACUCAAAGGAGACUGCCAGUGAUAAACUGGAGGAAGGUGGGGAUGACGUCAAGUCAUCAUGGCCCUUACGACCAGGGCUACACACGUGCUACAAUGGCGCAUACAAAGAGAAGCGACCUCGCGAGAGCAAGCGGACCUCAUAAAGUGCGUCGUAGUCCGGAUUGGAGUCUGCAACUCGACUCCAUGAAGUCGGAAUCGCUAGUAAUCGUGGAUCAGAAUGCCACGGUGAAUACGUUCCCGGGCCUUGUACACACCGCCCGUCACACCAUGGGAGUGGGUUGCAAAAGAAGUAGGUAGCUUAACCUUCGGGAGGGCGCUUACCACUUUGUGAUUCAUGACUGGGGUGAAGUCGUAACAAGGUAACCAA